rnacentral:lncRNA from 1 species
CAGAGAAAGAAAUCGUUCAUAAGUUUGCUCGAGAAAGAUAUCCAGUUUGCAGCUGAGGGGGAGUACUGUCAAAUUGCGAAGAGCAGACAAAAUCUCAAAAAUCAAGACUAGACUAAUUUACCAAAAAGAAAGGAUCUUUUUCUAUGCCCUUUCGACCCCAGUUGAUAUCUAUAACUGCUAUGAUAAAACUGAAAUAUUCUCACUCUUUUAACCAAGUUUCAAACACCCAAUCAACAUAAAACUGUAAUAGAAAAAGAAACAAACCACGAUAUGAAAUCUCCAAUCCAAACAAAUUCAGCUGAAAAUACAAACUACAAACACUUACGAUGAAUAUAAUCAGCUAACUAAUUUACAAAAGGUUGAACUUUUUUUCACGAAUAGUGGUAUUACAGAUCACUUACCAAGUCAGAGUUAAGGUCCAAGAAAAUGAAUCAGAGAACAACAGGGACAAUCACUCUUAUUGUGAAGGUGAUGGAGAAAUCGAUCUCAAAGACUUGUCUAAUUUCUAGCAGAUCUUGAUUUGAGAUAGGAAUAAAACAGGUAUGCUAUUAAUAUCGUGUCUUUGUAAAACUCAUAGGAGUAAAUCUCCCGC